CUAAUCGGAGUCGCACCCAUUUUCCUCCUCCCAAUUAUGAUUUGUCUCAAUGUUGAGAUUAGGAACUCCAUUUCUCUUGCCAAUUCAGAAGCUGGAGCCAGCGAGGCAUCCAUCGUGUGUAAUUUCUGACUAACAAUGAGUUAAGACUUAGCCAAAUUAGAACCCCAAAGGAUAAACUAACGUGAACCCACGUCAAGGUUUCGUAGAUUGACGUGGGUUCAUGGUGUUUUUUUCUCUUCGUUUGGGAGGGUGUAUAUUUGAGGAUGUUGUUGCUGUGCUUUGCAGAAGUUCGCGCAGUUUGUGUGCGACUUAGCUCAGGGGCGUCUUUCUCACUUCAGUCUUCAGCUGUAGUUUCUCGACUGUCAUCUUUCACUUCUACCGAUCCUGUUUUAGGCAUUUGAUAUGACACUACUGUAGUUAAUCGGAAUGCUUUUGAAUGAACCCUAAUUUAAACCUUGGGGCGGUCCGAUUCCUGGAGGAUGUGAAGCGCAUCGAAUUAUGGUUGUCAUGGAACUUUGUCUUGUAUCGUGGAUCUUUGGCUUGUUGUUGUGCCGGAUUAAACCUUUGACUCUAUUCCAUAUUUUCAUCCUCUACAUACCUUGUUGAGGUGUUUUACAACAAGUGUAUCGAGCAUUAGCAAUGGGGGUCUCAACGAGCACGAACUAAGAAUCGCACGACCGCUACCAGAACGAUGAAUUUGCGAGGUAGAUAUGGCGAAUUCGGUGAUCUGUGAUAUAUGUGCUGCAGAAGUUAGAGUGCCGCAGUUUCAUGACGAUUGGGUAUCCGAUUCGUCGUUCAAAUAAAUUUGGCAGAGCUGUGAGGGUGAGCAUCCCGCUGAAAAAAAUUCGCUUACAACAAAUAUACCGUUACAAGACUGAUACCUUCGUACUCUUGUCUCAGAAUCGCCUAGUGAGCAAGGCAAUGUCUCUCUCUCUCCAUUGAAGCUGUUUCUUGGUCGCAAUUGUUUCGAAAUAAAUUUUACAAGCAAGCUGGCCGAAAUGCUUAAAUUCAAUAUGACCUUGAAUCAUGAUGUUACGACAAUAGCAAACCCCCUUACGAGAAUCAAGUAAUAUAUAAUUUUAUGGGCAAUUACACCGUUCAGGGAUUAUUCCAGCAUCAGGAGAUUGAGAGGGUUGUGUUAAUGUACCUGGGACAACAACCAGUAGCUGAUAGUUUUUUUUCGUAACUUUGUAGACUAUUAUGUUAGGUUAAUCAUCCUUGGGAAAUCUCUUGAACACAUUAAUGGUUUUAUUUCAGUUAAGAUUAUGGUUUCAAAAAACUAUGUAAUUCACACAUCUUCCUUCAUGCUUUCCAAGAUUUGUCAUUACUUAGAGUUCGACUUAAAGCAAGCUGAAUUUUCGCUCCCGCAAGGAUUGUUGUAGAGUUUCUUUUCGUCCGUGUGUGCCACUGAUGGGUCCUAAUAUUGCUUGCCCGUGCAAUUUGGUGGCAGCGCUGCUUCAUUCUAUGUGGUAACCAACGAACACUGGAAACUAGCAAGGACUAUCAUGGUUGAAAGUUCUACCUGUGGCUUGGAAAUUUGAGAUAUGUAAUUUAAUGAAGAUUGGGGGAUGAAGCGGGUAGGAGAGCGAGCUCAUCCUCGUGAUCUCCCCUCCCGACCUUCUUCGCAUGUACAUUUAGAGUCGACAUUGGUGCGUUCACCACAACCCAACAUUGUCAGAAAAGAUCUGGAAUACGAAAUGAUGGGCAAUUUAUCUUUACAUUUCCCUCUUUAUCCUCUCUUCUUGUACACAUGGGGUACUGGGCCGAGAUUGUUAGAUACCCUCGGCUCCAAUCUUUCCAGUUCAAAAUCUAUGAGAGAUUUUUAGGUCAAAAUGCAUCAGCUUAUAAAUUUGUGAGACGGGGGCGCACUAUUCUGAAACACAAUCAACUUCCACAAUUAUGGGGAGCCACUGGGUCAUUCCUCGUGGUUCCUCCACGGUUCUAACGGUAUGUUUACCACCAGCUUGUUCUACGUGAUAAUUGAGGUUGGAGUGAACCGUAAACCGUUCUACUUGGACAUUGAUACAGGAAGCUCCUUCACUUGGCUACAUUGCUGACUCAAACCUACUAUCCAGUGCAUCAAACUGGUUUGCACUCAAAUCUCAAUCCAAACCCUAAGUUGUCAUUCUAGAUUGGAUAAGAUCGAUCUUCGUUGAUGCAUUGUUGGUGCUUGUUUCAACAGCUUCAUUCGAUUGAAUUGGCUUUGACACUGAGAUGACAGGGUCCGAAUGGAUUUUAUGACGCAGUAAAUUUCAACCGUACUAUUCUCUACAACGAUGCUUUGUGUUCCUUAGCAAAUGACUACCAUGAUGACAAACAGUGUAAUUCCAGUCCAACGAUUACUGUAAAUACGGUCUGAUUUAUGCUGAUAAUUUAGAAACGCGAGCUCGUGUCAAAGACAGUAUGGCCUUGACAUACCACUUACAAUAUGUGGAUGUUGAACUUGUUUUCGGGUGUGGGUAUGAGCAGCGGGGCUGUGCAUAUGAGUUUGGACCAGGUAAAGUAGAUACGCUUCCAUCUGAUGGAAUCAUGGGGUUGAGCAGGAAAGAGGCUGCAAUCCCUGCUCAACUGCAUGCAGAAUGCCGAAUGGUGUUGCUGAAUGCCAUUCGGCAUCUGCAUUCGCCGUGUUAUUGGCCAUUAUUUUUUGCGCUUUCAUGAAAGCGUGGCGACUCAUGUGGGCGUUUUGCAUCUUCGUGAAAGUCCUAUGACAACCAAAGGCAUCACAUGGGCCAGGAUGAUCAUGCGACAGCGUGUCAAUAUACAGUCAGCAUACGAAGGUGAAAUGGUUGAAGUGAAGCAUGGGAACGGCCUUGUGACAUCAUUCGAUAGGAGCAUUCAGAACGCUUCGUAACUUUUGACUCCGGCAUCUCCAUCACUUGAUUAACACAAACACUCUUCCUUCACUUAAGUAAACAUGUAAGUCUCAACUUUAAUGUACAUCAAAGCAAUAACUUUCAGGAUCUUUUGUUCCAUCGAGCAUUUACCGAGUCGACCCAAUCCGGAGUAAACUUGGCUGAAAUUGUUUUUAGUGUAGUGUUGCAAAUUCUUUCUUGUGAUGUGUAGAUAGAGGCAAAGGUAAAUAACAUCGGUCAUGAAGCACUUCCGAAUCAUGACGAGGGGGAAGUAGUAGAGCCAAGCGCUCGCUGUUGGAAGGUCAAAGAUUCGUGUCAUCCAUCAACAUUCCGUGGUGAUUAAAUAAGUUGAUUCUCGAUUUAUGAGAUGAAUCUGGGCUCAAUGUGAACAGAUUCCUUUCUCGUUUCUAAUCUCACAGGUUCAUAAGUGAGUAACGUCACUGAUCCUGAACGAAUCGCGAUGUGGAAAAUUAACAUUGAAAGCAAAACGGGUGCUUGGGUUGGAUACAGUUUAACUGUGCCAAACAAGGGUUUCAAGGACAUCACGGUAAGCUUCUCUUCGGAUAUAUCGAAGCGGAUUACUAGUUGGGUGCCCGAUAUCUUCUCAAAAUCAUGGCCUCAGGGAAAGUUUGUGAUACCACCUUCGAACUACCUCGUGAUCCGAGUAAGUCCUUCACUUCUAUCCCAAAACCCUUCCCGAAGCUGCUUUCCGGUGGCAUCUCAAACAACUUCAUGUAAUGUGUUGUUUUCUGUGGUCUUUUCCAAGUUUCUUGCAUGUGUUCCGAUCACAUUUGCUGUUGUAUAGUAAAGCACACAUCACUCAACGCUGCUCGUGCGAGCUGAUACAAUUUCACUUUAUGUGAAUUAGAAAAUUCAAUCCUUGCAAAAUAAAUAGAAUUCCUUUUCUCAAGAUUUUUGAGAGGAAGAAACAGACCUUGAUGGUCAGAGUCAUGAAUCAUGUGUGCGCUGGAUCAGCAGUGGCUCUUGAAAUGCAUUCUGGGCGGAUUCGCUGUUGCGCCGUGAUUGCAGUACUAUGGGCAACAAUGCAGACAUAGUGUGCUUAGCACUCCUCUCCGAUCCAACCUUCAAGUUCCAUACGAUCAGAGGUAAUGUAAAGAUCCAAUCAUAUUCAAGUAUGGCAGGCUCCUUUACUAUAAUGUACAUUGUCUAUCUAUUGGUAAAGGUUUUGCACUCUUCUUUCUCAUAAAUAGACGAAACAAAAAUCAAUACUACAUCUUCAACAAGUCUUGAACUAGCUAAUUUGGUUCGAUUAUAUAUAUAACGAUACACACACAUGUGUGUGUGUGUGUGCAGCAUGUGCAAUGAAAGGUUUUGUAUUCGUAGUAGAUAAUAAGUUGGAAAGAAUUGGUUGGCGGAAGUCACAGAAUUGUGAAUGAUAUUGUUUUGGUGGUGAGUGCGUCUGCAACUCAUUCUGACUACCACUGGAAUCACAAGAUCUGCGCCUCUACUUAUUUUGAUUCA